AACUGCCACAUUAUGUACUUUUAAAUUUUUGGACCGAGAUAAGCCAACUUCCAAGUACAUCAUUCAUGGGGUAGUAGAGAUAAUCAUUUGUGCUGUUUUUGUCCAUUUUUUUUUACCCAAUUACACUAAUAUAGAUUUUGAGGCUCAUUUUCUAUAAUACAGGACAAGGACAAGGCAAAUCAAAUAUUUAGAGUCAAAAAAACCUUUUUCUCUCUCCCCUAUCUCCUUCUCCUCGCAACUCUGAAACUGAUUUUGCUCUGCCUCCGACACGUAUGUGCGCGUGCGACCGUCGGAGGUCUCUUUUCUCCCUCUACUUGGCUUCCCUUUGCUGCUGCUCCGCCUCUCUCUUUCACCUCUGAUAUGCUCGCUGUCCUGGGUUUGCGUGCUUCUCCGAUGAGUGCUCCGUGCGCAAGGAAUGCAUCUCUCCGGCGUCUGUAAGCUUCACCUGGUGCUGCGGCGAGGAGGUCUCAAGGUUUGGUGAAAAAGUGAUCGGAUUUUAGGGUUUUGGUGGGAUCAAUUUUCUAGAUCUAGUUUAGAUCCCGCCCGUUUUCUUCGUCGUGGAGGGGGCUUUGACGGUUUGCUCCAUCAAUUAGACUUCGGCGGUGUCGUAUAUUGAAAGAUGGUGACUUUCGGUAGCGGAUGUGGGGUUCCUGGUCUUCUCCGGCGUCGGCGAGGUUCACUCCCAUCCUCUUGUUACCAAGAGAUUUUGGUGGCUUCGGUCACUGGAAGCACGCCUAGAGUUGAGAUACGCAGGAGGAGAUGGUAUCAAGGCUCUGUUCCCGACGUGUGCGGUUGUUGUUGGUAGCUGUGACAGGUAGUCGUCUAUAGCUCCUAGAUGGUUGUUCACAACUCCGCUUCUCUUCUGACCUCUCCCUCUCGGCAGCCUGUCUGGUUCUUCGUGUCGAAAGUGGCUACUUUCUUAUCGAAUCGUUGACUCCGAAGCAUGGUUUCUCUCAGUCAAGUAAUCGGUCUCACGGUUCUCGUUAGACGGAUUUGUUGAGGCGAUUCUCGGGAGUCAUUGAUUGCCUCGAGUUAACAGAUUGUCAAGCUCACAUCCGGGUGUCGCUGUGGUCCUUUAUACUUUGCGGCAGUGUGCUUGAUUUUACUUGCAGGUGUUUGAGGCUUCCUAACAGGGUGUGGCGAUGUCAUCAACCCGCUUUCUUGCUCAGUUCAUGGCGGCAAUGGUGGUGGACAGCUCUUGGAGACAAUCUCCUCCCCUGGAUCUAAAAGUUGGAAGCGUCACUCUAUUGCCGCACUCAUCAAGGACAUUAUUAGCUUAGUUCUUCCUAACUUAUAAGCUUUAUAUUGCUAAGCUAUGAAUCCUGAAUAAGGUGUCUCAGCUAAAAGAAGAUACAACUAAGGUAACGUAAUGUUUCUUGGUUUAUGCAAAACUCAACGUAUGCAUAAGUAAAGGUGGCGUAAGGUAUUCUUGAGUAAAAAGUGCAUUGUCUAUGUAUUUUACUCCUUACUAAUAACAACAAAAUCACCUAAGCAAAAUGAUGAUGUUUUGUAAAUUAAUAUAUUUUCUGGUUUGUUUCUAAAUAACAAUACAA